rnacentral:rRNA from 1 species
UACGAAGGGGGCUAGCGUUGCUCGGAUUGACUGGGCGUAAAGGGCGCGUAGGCGGUUCGUACAGUCAGACGUGAAAUUCCUGGGCUCAACCUGGGGGCUGCGUUUGAUACUGAUUGGCUUGAAUGCAGGAGAGGAUAGCGGAAUUCCCAGUGUAGAGGUGAAAUUCGUAGAUAUUGGGAAGAACACCGGUGGCGAAGGCGGCUAUCUGGACUGUGAUUGACGCUGAGGCGCGAAAGCGUGGGGAGCAAACAGG